AUGGACCUGUCCAUGAACCAGCUCACAAGUGUUCUGCCACCAGGGUUGGCCGGGAUGCACCAAAUGUGUGAGUUCAACAUAGCGUCAAACAGACUCGUUGGUCGGAUUCCGCAGGUUUUGUUCACGGACUGGCCAAAGCUCAUAUCAUUCCAAGUGCAGAACAACUCAUUUUCAGGGAAGAUUCCACCGGAGCUCGGCAAGGCAACCAAGCUGAAAUUCUUGUACCUCUUCAGCAACAACCUUGUUGGCUCUAUCCCUGCAGAGCUGGGAGAGCUGGUGAGCCUAGAACAACUGGAUUUGUCGGUGAACUCUCUCACGGGACCGAUCCCCAGCUCGUUCGGCAACCUCAAGCAGCUCAUGAGGUUGGCGCUCUUCUUCAACCAGCUCACCGGCACGAUCCCUCUGGAGAUCGGCAACAUGACGGCGUUGCAAGUCUUGGACCUCAACACCAACAGUUUGGAAGGUGAGCUGCCCGGUACCAUCACAUCGCUCAGGAAUCUCCAAUACCUCGCCCUGUUUGACAACUACUUCAAUGGCACCAUACCGCCGGACCUUGGGAAGGGGCUAAGCUUAACCGAUGUGAGUUUCGCGAACAACAGUUUCUCCGGUGAGCUGCCGCAGAGACUGUGUGAUGGCUUAGCGCUGCAGAACUUCACGGCAAACCACAACAACUUCAGUGGCAGUCUGCCAUCAUGCCUCAAGAAUUGCACAGGGCUGUUCCAGGUGCGGCUGGAAGGCAACCAAUUCACCGGCGACAUCUCUGAGGUGUUCGGCGUCCAUCCCAGCUUGCACUACUUGGAUGUAUCAGGGAAUCAGCUGACUGGGAAGUUGUCGUCUGACUGGUCACAGUGCACCAGUGUUACAUACUUAUUUAUGAAUGAUAAUCAAAUAUCUGGCAAUGUUCAUGCAACCUUCAGCGGAUUGACCUCUCUCCAGUAUCUGAAUCUAUCAAAUAACCAGUUGGCAGGGAAAUUCCCGUCUGUCUGGUCACGGUGCCCCAGUCUUGCACUCUUAAAAAGGAAUGGUAAUCGAAUAUCUGGCAAUAUUCAUGAAACCUUCUGCGGAUUGACCUCUCUCCAGGAACUGGAUCUAUCAAAUAACCAGUUGACAGGGAAGUUCCCGUCUGACUGGUCACAGUGCACCAGUCUUACACUCUUAAAGAUGAACGGUAAUCGAAUAUCUGGCAAUAUUCAUGAAACCUUGUGCAGAUUGACCUCACUCCGGGUACUGGAUCUAUCAAAUAACCAAUUCACCGGGGAGCUCCCAAGUUGCUGGUGGGAGUUCAAACAUAUGAUUGCUAUGGAUUUGUCCAACAAUAGCUUUUCAGGUGAACUUCCUAUAUCAACGAGCUUGGGCCUUGAACUCCAGUCACUUCGUCUUGCUAACAAUAACUUUCUUGGAGUUUUUCCAUCCGUAAUUGAAACCUGUGGAUUUCUCAGCAUCCUAGAUCUUGGGAGCAACAUGUUCUUUGGUGAUAUCCCCUCGUGGGUCGAAACGAGUGUUCCAUUUCUAGCAGUUCUGAGCCUUCCAUCCAACAACUUCAGUGGUGUUGUUCCACCCGAAUUAUCACAACUUUCUUAUCUGCAAGUCCUGGACCUGUCCAGCAACUCCUUUUCAGGUGAGAUCCUCACGACCGUGGCAAACCAAAACUGCUCUCUCGAGUCGGUCCAUCUUGCCGGCAAUGGCUUUGCAGGCACCUUCCCGCGGUUCCUGCAAGGCUGCAACUCACUGGCCACCCUGGACAUCGGGAACAACCAGUUCUUUGGUGGUAUCCCUACAUGGAUCGGGAGCCAUCUUCCAUUAUUGCAAAUCCUUAGACUUAGGUCAAACAAUUUCACCGGAGAAAUCCCGCCAGAGUUUUCGAGGCUUUCACAUCUUCAGCUGCUCGAUAUGGCCAAUAAUAGCUUGACAGGAUCAAUUCCGGUAGCCUUUGGCAACUUUACAUCCAUGAGGCUUAAUCUUCCCCCAUGGGUCGAACCAAGUUGGAAUUUCCAACUGUCGGUCAACAUAUCCUGGAAGGGCUGUGAACAAACUUUCAAAGAUGGCAUCGGGUUAAUAACAGGUAUCGAUCUAUCAUGCAAUUUACUUGCAGAGAACAUACCGGAUGAGCUAACACACCUGAUAGGUCUCCGGUUUCUGAACUUGUCCAUAAAUGACCUUUCAGGCAGCAUUCCAGAAAGAAUCGGCAGUUUGGAGCUCUUGGAGUUCCUUGACCUCUCAUGCAAUGAACUUUCAGGUCUCAUUCCUCCCAGCAUUUCAGAUCUGCCGUCCCUCAGCAUGCUAAAUCUCUCAAACAACUGCUUGGAGGGCCACAUACCCACCGGGAAUCAGUUGCAGACACUUGCAGAUCCAUCAAUAUAUGGCAACAAUCAGGGACUCUGCGGCUUCCCGUUGAGCGUGUGUGAGCCCACGUUGGGCGAGGGAGCUGAAGGCCACACAAAGCUCAGAGACCUGGGGCUUUGUUACUCUGUGAUUCUUGGCACCGUUUUCGGCUUCUGGCUUUGGUUUGGAGCUCUGUUCUUUCUGGAGCAGUGGAAAUUUUGUUUUCUCCGUUUUGUUGACGGCUUAGAGAUGAAGAUAGUUGUCAGGCGCUAA
rnacentral:rRNA from 1 species